rnacentral:lncRNA from 1 species
AAAUCCAUUUUCCAGCAGGGCUUGUGUCAGCUGUUCUAUGAAAGACCAGAGAGAAAUUUUCCCAUGGUUCCUAGGAGUCUGGAGUGAUGCAAAGCAUUAUUUUCCCCUAGAAGUCAAGUGUUUUGCCAUAUAAGCCAGCCAUGUCUUUCAAUCUGCUAAAACACAAUCUGGCUGAAGUUUCAAGGGAUAAAAUAGUAAGAAGGCCCUCCAACCCCUGCCACCUACAGCUAGAUAUGAGCUAUAGUCCCCUGAGUGUUUCCUGCCCUCCUUGCUUUAUCCUGUCGCCCUCCAGACAGCCAGGCUUCUGCAGGAGUGUCCACAUUCACUGGAGAGCAGCAGGCACUUCCUGGCUGGCUCCUCUCACAAGGAACCUCUGUUUGCUUUGGGCGCACACAGCCUCUGUUUGUCCCCAUUGAGACAGAAUACAAAUGAGCACUUCUCAGGGUGAGGACACUAACUGGCAGCGGCUUGCUAGAGCUCAGGACAUUUUCUAUGCAAUUCACUAAUCAGAAGUGACUGGGCGCUGAAGAGAAGACAGGCCAGCGUUGGUUCCGCCCUCCAUGCUAAUGAUGAAAGCAGUGAAGUGGAUAAUUAAGGGCAGCGAGGUGAAUAAUUCCAAACGGAUCACUGAAAGGUAAUGAAAUGCACUGGGGUUUGGGGGCAGCAGAUUUUUGUAGCAGACAUGGCUGUUUUCUGAUGAGCCGGGUUUGCCUCUUCUCUCAGACUUCGGGAAGGUCCAGCUUGGGAAGGUGGUGGAGAGGACCAGAUCUGGGAUUGAGAGUUUGUGCAGUCUUGAUGCUUAGGAAGCUUGCACAAUUUCCAGAGGAGACACCCGUGACAAAAAUCUCCACUGAAAAAUGACAAGCCUGCAAAAUGAAUGGAAAAAAUCAGCAGAACUCAUCAGUUUCCAAAAUGGUAUCUAUGUGGAGAGAGUCUAGAAAGAAAUCUAUCAUUAUGAAGAUUAAUAGUCAGCUGGGUAUCGGAGCUAUAGGUAGACUUCAUUUAUUCUCUUCUCUACUGAAUGCGCAUAUGUUAAUUUGAAUUAUACAUACAUUCUCCAUGCACUGGUUUUGUAGUCCUGGGGAUUGAACCCAGGAUUUUGUGCAGGGUGGGCAAGCAGUCUACCGACUGAGUGACAUCCCCAGCAUUUUUAGUACUGAAAACCAUGAACACACACACAACUGGGGUGAUGCAGCUCUUACCCAGAAUGUACAGAAGAGAACCCGCCUCGCGCUAACCGCUGCGCUAAUGUGGGCCGGCAGGGAGCCCGCACAGAAGAUGCAGGCAUUUUCUUUAGGGAUUCUCUCUAUACACGAGUCUCCUUGGCUCUCCUUGGCUGAAAGCUCAAGAGAUAAUUUCAGAGACUACUUUGCAUUACUGUGUUCUUCUCAGGGUGCCACCAGCUUCUACUUGUAU